UACGUAGGGGGCUAGCGUUGUCCGGAAUCAUUGGGCGUAAAGAGCGUGUAGGCGGUCCAGUAAGUCCGCUGUGAAAGUCGGGGGCUCAACCCUCGAAUGCCGGUGGAUACUGUCGGGCUAGAGUGCGGAAGAGGCGAGUGGAAUUCCUGGUGUAGCGGUGAAAUGCGCAGAUAUCAGGAGGAACACCUAUUGCGAAGGCAGCUCGCUGGGACGUAACUGACGCUGAGACGCGAAAGCGUGGGGAGCAAACAGG
rnacentral:rRNA from 1 species